CCGGUCAGGGUGGCGGCAGCGGAACUACCCCGUGCAUCAAACUGUCCGCUCUAACAGGCCGAAGCGGUUCCCUGUGAGUAGACUCCUUAAUUGGGGUUGAAAGCGCCUACGCAUCAACCACAUGCAUACGGGACGUCGGCCAAUGUUACUGUGAACAAACCAGCGUGUCCAAAGCAGGCUUGCCUGAACGUUCGAGCAUGGAAUAACAAGGGAUCGAUUCUCUCGGUUCUUUUUGUUGGUUUUUAACCCGAGAAGGAGUAAUGCAGGCCACGGUGUCUGAGGUGGGUUUCCCUAGGCUUCGGUUUAGGCCCCAUCUAGGCCGUGUCCUUACGGGAUCAAUAGGGACUGACGGGGUCGUACCUACUUCCGCGUCAGAGGUGAAAUUCUUAGAUCGCGGGAAGAGGAACUUCUGCGAAAGCAUUCGACAAGAAUGUCUUCAUUAAUCAAGAACGAGAGUGUGGGGAUCGAAGAUGAUCAGAUACUGUCGUAGUCCACUACUGUAAACAAUGCCGUCUCAGGAUUGAGAAGUGAACUGAAUGACUUUCACAGCACUAACCCCUGAAACGAGAAAUCAAAGAUUAUGGGUUCAGGGGGGAGUACAUUCGCAAGGCUGAAACUUAAAGGAAUUCACGGAAUGAC
rnacentral:rRNA from 1 species